UCCCUCCAGGUAACGACCAGGCUCCAGUCCUGUUCCUCAACACUUCCAGGGCCCAGGAGGGGGAAACAGUUUUGGUUCAGUGUGCCAUUGAUGCUCAGUUUCCUGCUACGCGAGUUGUCUUCUGCAAGAACGGGCUGGAGGAGUUCAGCUUGAGGGCCCAGCACGGCAAGGUCAUCUACGCUCUGGUCCUCAACGUCACCUCGAGAAAUGCCGGGACGUACACGUGUGGGUACCAGCAGAGGAACGAGAGCAACUGGCUCCCCAUGCCCGGCUCCCGCACGCCCUCCCCACAGGCACGGCGCUGGCAGUGGCGGCCGUCGGCCUCGUCCUCCUGGCUGCAGGCAGCUGGUUUGCCAUCAGGAAAGGUGAGG
rnacentral:lncRNA from 1 species